CCUACGGGAGGCUGCAGUAGGGAAUCUUCCACAAUGGGCGAAAGCCUGAUGGAGCAACGCCGCGUGAGUGAAGAAGGAUUUCGGUUCGUAAAACUCUGUUGUAAGGGAAGAACAAGUACAGUAGUAACUGGCUGUACCUUGACGGUACCUUAUUAGAAAGCCACGGCUAACUACGUGCCAGCAGCCGCGGUAAUACGUAGGUGGCAAGCGUUGUCCGGAAUUAUUGGGCGUAAAGCGCGCGCAGGCGGUCCUUUAAGUCUGAUGUGAAAGCCCACGGCUCAACCGUGGAGGGUCAUUGGAAACUGGGGGACUUGAGUGCAGAAGAGGAAAGUGGAAUUCCAAGUGUAGCGGUGAAAUGCGUAGAGAUUUGGAGGAACACCAGUGGCGAAGGCGACUUUCUGGUCUGUAACUGACGCUGAGGCGCGAAAGCGUGGGGAGC
rnacentral:rRNA from 1 species